rnacentral:tRNA from 1 species
CCCGUCGUGGCCCGAGUGGUAAGGGCGCCGUGCUGAUGACACGGAAGCAGCAGGUUCGACUCCUGCCGACGGGAC